UACGUAGGGUGCAAGCGUUGUCCGGAAUUAUUGGGCGUAAAGAGCUCGUAGGCGGUCUGUCGCGUCGGCUGUGAAAACCCGGAGCUCAACUCCGGGCCUGCAGUCGAUACGGGCAGACUGGAGUUCGGCAGGGGAGACUGGAAUUCCUGGUGUAGCGGUGAAAUGCGCAGAUAUCAGGAGGAACACCGGUGGCGAAGGCGGGUCUCUGGGCCGACACUGACGCUGAGGAGCGAAAGCGUGGGGAGCGAACAGG
rnacentral:rRNA from 1 species